rnacentral:rRNA from 1 species
ACGAACGCUGGCGGCGUGCUAACACAUGCAAGUUGAACGAGAGGGCAGUGCAAUACUGUAGUAAAGUAGCAGACGGGUGAGUAACACGUGGGGAAACUUCCUUUUAGUAAAGAAUAGCCCAGGGAAACUUGGAUUAAUACUUUAUACGCCCUACGGGGGGAAAGGUUUAUCGCUAAACAGAUGUGCCCGCGUUAGAUUAAGGUAGUUGGUGGGGUAAUGGCCUACCUACAAGCCUACGAUCUAUAGCUGGUCUGAGAGGAUGAUCAGCCACACUGGGCACUGACGACACGGCCCAGACUCCUACGGGAGGGCAGCAGUGGGGAAUAUUGGACAUGGGCGCAGAAGCCUGAGUCCAGCAAACGCCGCGUGAAUGAGAAGGCCUUCGGGUUGUAAAGUUCUUUAGCAGGGAAGAAAAAUGACGGUACCUGCAGAAUAAAGCUCCGGCUAACCUUCGUGCCAGCAGCCGCGGUAUACGAAUGGGGCUAGAGUUGUUCGGAAUACUGGCGUAAAGCGUGCGUAGGUUGUUUAGCAAGUUAGUGGUUGAAGCCCAGAGCUUAACUCCGGAAUUGCCAUUAAAACUGCUAUCUAGAGAGUGUGUAGGGAAAGGUAGGUAAGGGAAUUCUAGUGUAGGACGUGAAGAAAUCCGUAGAUAUUAGGAGGAACAUCAAUUGGCUGAAGGCCGCUUACUGGGGUCACAUCUGACACUGAGGCACGAAAGCGUGGGGUAGGCAAACAGGAUAGAUCCCCUGGUAGUCCCACGCCCUAAACGAUUGGAUGCUAAAUGUCGGGGAUUUCGGUUUCGUGCGUUGUAGUUAACGCGUUAAGGACAUGCCCGCCUGGGGAGUAACGGGUCGCAAGAUAAAACUCAAAGGAAUUGACGGGGACCCGCACAAGCGGAUGGGAGCAUGUGGUUAUAUUCGGAGGGGCAACGCGAAGAACCUUACACAGGACUUUGACAUCCUUCCUAAACCUUUUUGUAAUGAAAGGCUCGGUUCGGGCCGGGGAAGAGACAGGUGCUGCAUGGCUUGUCGGUCAAGCUCGUGUCGUGAGAGUUGGGUUAAGUCCCGUCACGAGCGCAACCCUCAUCAUUGAGUUGCUAACUACGUAAUUGUGAGCACUCUAAAGGGACUGCCGGUGAAAAACCGGAGGAAGGUGGGGAUGACGUCAAGGUCCUCAUGGCCUUUAUGUCCAGGGCUCACACGUACACACAUGGCCGGGUACAAAGAGGUCGCAAACCUGCGAAUGUGUGAGCCAAUCUCAAAAAGCCGGUCUCAGUUCGGAUUGGAGUCUGCAACUCGACUCCAUUGAAGCGGGAAUCGCAUUAGUAAUCGCUGAUCAGCAAGCAGCUGGUGAAUACGUUCCCGGCCUUGUACACACCACCUGCCCGUCACAUCACGAAAGCCCGUUGUACUAGAAGCCGGUGAUUCAACCGCAAGGAGAUAGCCGUCCAAGGUAUGACUGGUGAU